UACUUAAUAAUUAUGAUGUGAGAGAAUCCUUUUCCUGGUUUAUUAUGUCAUACUCAAUACACCAGGGUGGCUGAUAUAUGAAUUGAUAUCACCUGUUAUCCUCGUCAUUCACAUAUGUUAAAUGCACUUGUAGCCAUAAUACAUACACCUUGAUAUCUACCACAGUCAUGCUUAGCACUUGGACUGGCACGUUGCUCACAUCUCUUUCUAAUCCUUUCUUCAUAAGCUUUUUCUAAGCUUACAUAUUUUCAUCGGCUACCCAUUUAGAAAAGCUCAACUAUACAUAUGUAAAAAGGUUUCAGUAAGAAUGCAUAACCAACUAAAUUAUUAGCACAAACACAAUAAAUAAAUAAAUAAAUAAUAAUGUUUGUACCUCCAAUAUGCUAUCAAGAAUUAAUAACAUCCUUCAGUGAACCAUUGCGCUGAUUUGAACGCUGAUUUGAACGCUCUGACUCAUUAGGCCUUUCUUUACAAGGACAAAAUCACGAAAAGGCAAAAUAAAGCAAAGAGCUCACCUUGCAAAAUUAGGAAAGGGAGCUUUCAAUUGGAAGAAGAAGUUGGCCCCGAGACAAUGGUCCACACAAAUGGAGGCAAAAGUUCAUGUAAAGAACACAAAUCAAAGCAUGCACCACAUAAAUAGAGAAUCAUCCGAAACUCAAAUCAUCGGAAUAAAACAAGAGAUCUUAUUAGCCUUUGCUAACUUGGAAAUCUAAAAUCAAAACAUCAAAUCACCAAACAAAGGUGAGUAAGAAAACAGAACUUAAAAAAUAAAAAACAGAAUGAAAUAUGAACACAGAGCAGAAAUUAGCCGCUACAGAACAUUUAUAACCAAGAAGUGACCAGCCCUAUUCAAUAGCAUCAUCAUCCUAAUUCCCAAGUCAUACCCUUUGCUAAAAACUCUUUUAAGUCAUGCAUUUUCUAACUAUGAUUGUAUUGCUUUUGACUCUAAAGACAGUAAAUGUUCCAACUUGUCUAAGGCUACAAAAAUAUGUUAAUGAUGGUAAACUUGACUUAAAACAAAUACGUUCCCUCCAAUAUGAGUUCUCUCUAUCUUGGUUCUAAACGUGGUAAACUUGGUUUAAAACAAAUAAGCUCUCUCUAUCUGCAACCCUUAGAACACCUAGUUUAAGUAUGCAACAUUUUAUCUUAAUUAAAUUCAGAAAGUUGAAUAUGGCUUUAAGGCAUUUUACAAAUAGGUUUUGGGCACUAAUUAGGAUGGAGAAAAAUACUACAGAGAGUAAACAGAGCAGAAAUUAGCUGUUAUGGAACAUUUAUAACCAAGAGGUGACAAUCGCAACUGUAUUUGAUUGAAUUCAACUUUUCAUCCAUUCACAAUAUUCAUCAUUUUCCAUGAUUAAUGAUUCUAGAGAAUGAAAUGUUUGAAAUGAGAAUGAGUUCUUCAAUUGUUUAAGUUGCUCCUGAGAUGAGUAUGUGUUCUGUGUUUGUUUCAUGGAUACCCAAUUAAUUGGAGAACAAGAUUAGAUAACCCAAAAAAUGAAGAAACUUCACCGUGCUUUUCGGAUGACAAAAUUUUGCCACCACAAUAGUGGUGGCGAACUCUGCUCGGCAAACAAUAGCUCAUCCCUAUUCCUCGAACAAGACCCUGCCUCUCAUUUUUUUCUCUUUUUUUUUUGUUAAUUUGGUUUGAAGAGACAAAAUAUGCAAGGGAAAAAGAAAUCACGCAAAAGUGGGGAAAUCCAAUUGUUUUAAAUUCAAGAGUUAGCUACUUGCAUGAAAUUAUUAUUCUAAAUUCAAGAGUUAGCUACUUGCGUGAAAUUUCAUAAGUGACUUGGCACAAAAACUGCCUUCCUUUCCUGGAAAAAAAAAAAGAGAACCAAAAAUUAUACAUUUAACCCAUCAAUCAUGCUGAACGCUCAUCUGAAGUGGCCUGAAUUUAACAUCAAAGAAUCUUUGGAACUAAUUUCACUACCAUGGCAUAUUUCGACAAUCUAAGCUUGCUCAGACUCAAAAAAAAAAAGUAUAGCUAAUUGUCAAAAAAAAAUACAUCAUCUUUUCUUAGCUUUACAUUGCAUAAAUUCAGGGCUAACAAGUUCAUAUUGUUAGACCACCAUUCAUUUAUUGAAGUUAGGAAUAACACCUAGACCAACUGUAAUAACCUCUCAAUAUGUUUAGAAAAUCACCUAUAUUUUUCUUGUUACUUGGUUUUGGAUAGAAAAGUUAGUUGUAAUGCCUCUGGAAUACAAAUACCUUAAUGUAAUUCCUUUAUAAUAGUUUGUCUGUUGACAACCUAAUUAAACUCAUUCAAAAAAAAAAUUGAACUUGCAAAUUUGGUGUUCAACACCUUUUAAUUUGAUUAGUUUCCUGCGUAAUUUCUAAUGUUUUAAAUCUCAAAUAUAGAAAAUGAAUUGGAUAUAUUCAUAGGCUAGAUUACAAACUACAUUAGCUAAACCCACAAAGUAAAAUAGGAAAAGGAUAAAACACAUACACACACACAAACACAAAGUGAAACAGAAAGUAUGAAAUGCCUGGCCGUGUCUUACUCUUACACAAGGAAAAUUAAAGAAAGAAAAAGAGAAAAAUAGCAUCCAAUUGGCCUUCCAUUUAUUCCUUUCUGUUCUGUAGUUUUUUUGGUUCUUUUUGGAAACUUAUUAGUUUAUAAUGGAUUAAACUAUACAGAUAUUAUAAUAAGAAAAGGUUAUAGGAACUGCAAAACCUGUUAGGUGCGGUUUAUGAGAAGAAAAAUCAAUUGCUCCAAUACAUUAUAAAUGAGGUGUUAAAAAAAAUGACAAAUUAAUGCUCCACCAGUUUUGAUAUCAAAGAAGUUGUUGCUCAAUAUAAACGUCUACAUCUGGCUACGUCAAUUUUGCAACAGUUUGCCAACUUGUUACAAAAGAUUUGAAAGGUAUUUUAUUUUCAACAGAAUCUAAAACCAAAUGAAUAUUUCGAAGUGGUUAAACAAAAUGCUCAUGGGUUUGGUUGCCAAUUCAUGUACUAAUCACAAAUCAAGAACUACUUGGUUUCUAUCCAAGUGGACAUUUUCAUUGGCUUGGGUAUUAAGCAUCGAAAGUCUCUUACUUAUUUUCUUUAUUCAUAACCGUUGACAAUGACACCAGUUUUUUCGCUCUGCAAUUUUCAAAUUUACGUGAACCAUAUAAUGUACUAUGUAAACACAGGAAGGGAACCAUAAUGUCAUAACAAAUUACAAAAAACAAAAAAACAAGCAAAUACCAUAUCACAAUCGAAACAUGCAUUGAUGAAAUUACAUUAAACCAAUCCAAAACAUCAAACAAUUUUCUGAAACGGAGAAAAACUAACACACAAUAAUUGUAGAUGUUAAAUGAGGACAUAUAGCGAAUAUAUGGUGUGCACGUCAAAUAAGUUUGAAUGACCUGUCUAAAAAUACAGCCCUUAAUCAUAAAACAAAAGACAUCAGCACAACAAACAAAUCACAUCAAUGCGACUUUCAAUUAUGAUCAGCAAAUUGAUAAACUCAAAACCGAUAAGCUAAUAGACAUAGAGUGAAAAGUUCACCUUUCAAAACCAUCGAAACUUCACAAUGCUCUUCUGGUGAAGAAAUUCAACGACAAUGGCUAUGGCAGUGGCGGUGGUGGAUUCCGGUCAACAGGCAAUGACUCCUCCGUGCUCCUCGGACUCCCUUUUUUGUGGCUUUGCUAUUACUUUCCCCUUCUUCUCUAUUUCUUGUUUGCUUGUAAUGGGAUGGAGUUAGAAAACUUGUAUGCGUUUUUAGUGAUGUGCAUCAAUGAUUCUUGGAGAUGAAAUCUUUGAGAUAACAGUAGUGGCUUCUUCAUAAUUUUAGCAGUUAAAAAACAAUAAACUGCUGCAUUAGUUAACCCAAACUGAAAGAAAACAUGCGUCAAAAAUGAAUGGUAACGAGGUUUCUACCAACCGCUUCCUACCCCUCCAAGAAGUACUCCUGUCCAACUAACAAAACCAAAUGCCCUCAAAGAACAACAAUGAAGGACUCACUCUUGCAGCUACCAAAGAACGCUG
rnacentral:lncRNA from 1 species